rnacentral:misc_RNA from 1 species
UCCCUUUUAGGGGCAGUCUCGCUAGAGAGUGUAACUAGCGACAAGGGUUGCGCUCGUUGCGGGACUUAACCCAACACCUCACGGCACGAGCUGACAACAACCAUGCAGCACCUGUGCAGGCUCCCUUGCGGGUCCUUUCCCUUUCGGGUCCGUACCACCUGCAUGUCAAGCCCUGGUAAGGUUCUUCGCUUACCAUCGAAUUAAACCACACGCUCCGCUGCUUGUGCGGGCCCCCGUCAAUUCCUUUGAGUUUUAACCUUGCGGUCGUAGUCCCCAGGCGGGAUGCUUAACGGGUUACCUGCGGCUCACAGGGGGUCGAUACCCCGCAAACCUAGCAUCCAUCGUUUAGGGCGUGGACUAC